rnacentral:lncRNA from 1 species
GUUCCCGCGGGCGCGGUCGGUUUGUCCCCGGAGGUGGCUGCUGGGCGGUCACGUAGGUUACACACAGUCACUCUGUCGGCGGAGCCCGCAGGCCGCUGUGCCAUCCCUGCCGCGGCUCCCCGAGCCGGGACCACCAUGGCGCGGGUCGGCGGCUGGAGGCUCAGCUGACUGCAGGCGCGAGGUACCGAGGCGAGCCCGAGCCAGCGGGCACAGAGCCAGCUCUGCCGGUCCAUCUCCAGCCGGCAAACUCUGCCUGCCAAACCCAGGGCCCUCUGCGGGAAUGUUCAAAAAUGAGUACCAGGGAGGCGCAUUUGUUGAAAUUUUUAGCGCUCAGGGGAAAAAUCCUGGAGCAAAGUGGAAGAUCUUGGGCAGUCCAUCUGUGAUCUGGAAAGAGUUUGAUAAAGAAGUUAAAAGCUUUGUGUUUGUCCUGGAAGGCAGCAGCCAAACCAACAGAAUCCAGUUGCCGAAGGAGAAUAAGCAAAUCCUUGGACUGAUCCAGAGGUUUCUUGUGCUACAGAUUUACGUGCCCCUGGGACAGGACUUCUCCACCGAAUUACU